AAACCAUUGCAUAAAUGUAUGUAGAUAGUCUGGUACAUCAAGAUAAGAACCAUGGCAUAAAUGUAUGUGGAUAGUCUGGUACAUCAAGAUAAGAAACAAUGGCAUAAAUGUAUGUAGAUAGUCUGGUACAUCAAGAUAAGAAACAAUGGCAUAAAUGUAUGUAGAUAGUCUGAUACAACAGCAUAAAUGUAUGUAGAUAGUCUGGUACAUCAAGAUAAGAACCAUGUCAUAAAUGUAUGUAGAUAGUCUGAUACAACAGCAUAAAUGUAUGUAGAUAGUCUGGUACAUCAAGAUGGCAUAAAUGUAUGUAGAUAGUCUGGUACAUCAAGAUAAGAAACAAUGGCAUAAAUGUAUGUAGAUAGUCUGGUACAUCAAGAUAAGAAACAAUGGCAUAAAUGUAU